UUGGGGGGGUGCCUAAUACAUGCAAGUCGAGCGGUAACAGGAGAAAGCUUGCUUUCUUGCUGACGAGCGGCGGACGGGUGAGUAAUGUAUGGGGAUCUGCCCGAUAGAGGGGGAUAACUACUGGAAACGGUGGCUAAUACCGCAUAAUGUCUACGGACCAAAGCAGGGGCUCUUCGGACCUUGCACUAUCGGAUGAACCCAUAUGGGAUUAGCUAGUAGGUGGGGUAAAGGCUCACCUAGGCGACGAUCUCUAGCUGGUCUGAGAGGAUGAUCAGCCACACUGGGACUGAGACACGGUCCAACCUCCUACGGGA
rnacentral:rRNA from 1 species